AGCCAGUAAUUGUGGCGGACGGGUGAGUAACACGUGGGAACGUGCCUUUUGGUUCGGAAUAACUCAGGGAAACUUGUGCUAAUACCGAAUGUGCCCUUCGGGGGAAAGAUUUAUCGCCAUUAGAGCGGCCCGCGUCUGAUUAGCUAGUUGGUGAGGUAAAGGCUCACCAAGGCGACGAUCAGUAGCUGGUCUGAGAGGAUGAUCAGCCACAUUGGCGACUGAGACACGGCCCAAACUCCUACGGGAGGCAGCAGUGGGGAAUCUUGCGCAAUGGGCGAAAGCCUGACGCAGCCAUGCCGCGUGAAUGAUGAAGGUCUUAGGAUUGUAAAAUUCUUUCACCGGGGACGAUAAUGACGGUACCCGGAGAAGAAGCCCCGGCUAACUUCGUGCCAGCAGCCGCGGUAAUACGAAGGGGGCUAGCGUUGCUCGGAAUUACUGGGCGUAAAGGGAGCGUAGGCGGACAUUUAAGUCAGGGGUGAAAUCCCGGGGCUCAACCUCGGAAUUGCCUUUGAUACUGGGUGUCUUGAGUAUGAGAGAGGUAUGUGGAACUCCGAGUGUAGAGGUGAAAUUCGUAGAUAUUCGGAAGAACACCAGUGGCGAAGGCGACAUACUGGCUCAUUACUGACGCUGAGGCUCGAAAGCGUGGGGAGCAAACAGGAUUAGAUACCCUGGUAGUCCACGCCGUAAACGAUGAUUGCUAGUUGUCGGGAUGCAUGCAUUUCGGUGACGCAGCUAACGCAUUAAGCAAUCCGCCUGGGGAGUACGGUCGGCAAGAAUUAAAACUCAAAUGGAAUUGACGGGGGCCCGCACAACCGGUGGAGCAUGUGGUUUAAUUCGAAGCAACGCGCAGAACCUUACCACCUUUUGACAUGCCUGGACUGCCAAAAAGAUCUGGUUUUCUCUUCGGAGAACUAGGACCCAGGUGCUGCAUGGCUGUCCUCAACUCGUGUCCUGAAAUG
rnacentral:rRNA from 1 species